CUUCUAUGUUAUCAUUACACAUAAAACACACUCUUUCGUCUACAUUUUUAUUUUCAUACCGCCCUGUUUCAAUUCUCAACGGAGCUACUCCGCAUCUAAAUUUAGCAAAAGCACUUCUAUAUCUAUAAGAUAAUGUUUUAGAUAAAUAUAAUUCACUACCAUAACUGUCUUUAAACAAUUUAUAAGUCCGCAAUUUUUUACCAACAUCUUGUGUUAAUAUUCUAUUUUGCCAAUUUUCUAUAUACUUAUCAAGUAAAAAUUCUUCUAUCUGC
rnacentral:lncRNA from 1 species